rnacentral:rRNA from 1 species
UACAUGGGGUGCAAACGUUGCUCGGAAUCAUUGGGCGUAAAGCGCGCGUAGGCGGUUACACAAGUUGGAUGUGAAAGCCCUCGGCUUAACUGAGGAAGUGCAUCCAAAACUGUGCAGCUAGAGUACUAAAGAGGGUCGCGGAAUUCCCGGUGUAGAGGUGAAAUUCGUAGAUAUCGGGAGGAACACCGGUGGCGAAGGCGGCGACCUGGGUGGAUACUGACGCUGAGGCGCGAAAGCGUGGGGAGCAAACAGG